AAGACUUGCUCUGAAAAGAGCUUUGCCCAUCGAUUCGUUUCGAAUCGGGAAUAUUCUCUCGGUUUCCUGCUUCUGCCCAUGGUUCUCUGAGAACUCUAACCCUAUGAAUUUUUUUCUUGAUUUUGUCCUGAUUGCUUUGUCUGAUUGAUUUUUUAGGUUAUGCUCGACUCUCUAGAAACUCCGGCACACGAGAUCGAUCAUGCAGGUGUGAACCCUAAUACGAGUUAUCAAAGAAAUCUACGAACGUAGGAUCCUUGGGUUUCCUGAUUUGACUAUUUUUCGCACACCGAAAUUGUCAUGACUAUUUAUAAAAGGAAUUUCUAGACAAGAGUAACCCCGAAUUUUUUCCACGAGUUGGUGAUUUGGAAGUGUGGACAGAGAUUUGAAAUUGGAGAAGAUAAGGAAGAAGAAGAAGUCGGUGCUUGCUAAGAUUGAAGGUCUGAGAUGGGGUUUGGAAAACAAACUAAAGAAGAUGUAUUAGUGAUUGAUAUAUAAAAAUUUGUUUUCUAAAAUUCUCCAUUAAUUAUCUAAACAAACUAGAUGUCGUUGUUUCUUCACCAGUAAUUAUCCUUGCAUACCAGGUAAAUUUCAGUCUUCUUAUCUUACUUUCUUGAGCCUUUUUCACUGUCUUUUUGUGUUGUGUUCAGUGAAGGGUGAAACAAAAAUUAGGGCAGUUUUUUUUUUUAUUUUGAUUUUCGAUUAAUCUAAAAUUUUGACCUGUAUUUGGAUUUCGCAGAAAGGGGUUUAUCAGUUUGAAACAGGUCUAAACGAACACGAGUUCGUGCUAACAACAAUAAUAGCUUUUGAUUAAUUCUUUUCUUUCGUUAACAAUGAAUCAAGAGAACUUCAAAUUUUGAUUUUUGUGGAAACCUUUCCCCAUUGUUUACUAAAUUGAAUUGAGUUUCUUUCUUUAUGGUUCUGUCAUUGGAGGAUUUAUGAAUUUAUUUGGUUGGGUAAUUAAACUGAGAUUCCGGCAAAGAUGGGAGCUUUUAGGGUGUUCAGUAAUAUGAUAUCUUAUUCUUUACAUAUAAGGUUCAAGUGAAUAUAUGUAGUAUUGUUUUUCUUGUAUAGUCAUUCAUGUGUUAAUAACCAUUACUCUCUUUUUCUAUGUCAUGAUCCUCAUGCUGGGUUGCUGGACUUCCAAUGGUGGUGAGGGAAAUGAUGACCUGCAAGGAAUUAGUUUUUAUGUGAAAGUUAUUAAUUGUCCAAGCUUAUAUUGUACAGUAGAACUUAUAUUGUACCGUAGAACAGUCAACAACAAGUCACUGUGAAGGUGGUUUUCCCACUUCAUGAAGAUUCUAUUUUUGUAAUUGUUGGGUUAAGCAUAGUCCGCACUGGAUCUCAAUGAUUUUUUUUUUUUAAAAUGACUAAAUUGCUAGAAUGAAACAUAUUCUUUUAUCGAGUACCAUUGUCAUUCUAUAGAGCAAAGGAUCAUGUUAUUUUUGGUGCAAGUCUUCCAUCCAAUUCCUCUAACGACAUCUCUUACUUGCAGGAACUAAUCGUACACAUGAAUGGGAUGUAACAUGCCUAUGACCAUAAUCCUCACUUUAGUCGGUCGUAGGAGAGUUAAGGAUUUGAGACAUUUGUGGUGAGAGUAUCAAGUCAUUCUUGAACGAUCUCCUACAGGUUUGCAACACCCUUAAUGGUUUCUGUUUUUGGUAAAAGUAUCAAGUCAGAAAGUUGUAAGUACAUAUUUGGAGUUUUAUGUACCUUAACAAAUUCAUGGUCUUCUUGGAUUUUUUUUAGAUUGUACUGCACAGUUUUUUGUUUUUUUUUUAAUUUCCUUGAUUGUUAGUGGUUAAUUAUAACAUGAAUGUUUUCACGGCUC